GCAUUGGUGGUUCAAUUGUAGAAUCCUUGCCUUCUGUGCAGGAGACCCAGGCUUGAUUCCUGGCCAGUGCA
rnacentral:tRNA from 1 species